rnacentral:rRNA from 1 species
UACACUGGUGGCGACCGGCGCACGGGUGAGUAACACGUGUGCAACCAACCCCGUACCGGGAGAUAACCCGCGGAAACGUGGACUAACAUCCCAUGAGACUCUAGAUCCGCAUGGCUCUAGAUUUAAAAUUCCGGUGGUACGGGACGGGCACGCGCGACAUUAGGUAGUUGGCGGGGUAAGGGCCCACCUAGUCUUCGAUGGAUAGGGGUUCUGAGAGGAAGGUCCCCCACAUUGGAACUGAGACACGGUCCAA